GACGAACGCUGGCGGCGUGCUUAACACAUGCAAGUCGAGCGGUAAGGCCCCUUCGGGGGUACACGAGCGGCGAACGGGUGAGUAACACGUGAGCAAUCUGCCCAUCACAUCGGGAUAACUCCGGGAAACCGAAGCUAAUACCGAAUACGACCACCUCCGGCAUCGGAGGGGGUGGAAAGCUCCGGCGGUGAUGGAUGAGCUCGCGGCCUAUCAGCUUGUUGGUGGGGUAAUGGCCUACCAAGGCUUCGACGGGUAGCCGGCCUGAGAGGGUGACCGGCCACACUGGGACUGAGACACGGCCCAGACUCCUACGGGAGGCAGCAGUGGGGAAUAUUGGACAAUGGGCGAAAGCCUGAUCCAGCAACGCCGCGUGAGGGAUGACGGCCUUCGGGUUGUAAACCUCUUUCAGCUGGGACGAAGCGCAAGUGACGGUACCUGCAGAAGAAGCACCGGCCAACUACGUGCCAGCAGCCGCGGUAAAAC
rnacentral:rRNA from 1 species